rnacentral:rRNA from 1 species
AGUCAAUAGAUACCCAGGUAGUCCACGCCCUAAACGAUGUCAACUGGCUUUACGGAGUAUCGACCCUCUGUGAGGCGAAAGCUAACGCGUUAAGUUGACCGCCUGGGUAGUACGACCGCAAGGUUAAAACUCAAAGGAAUAGACGGGGGCUUGCACAAGCGGUGGAGCGUGUGGCUUAAAUUCGUCGCUAAGCGAAGAACCUUACCAGGGCUAGAAAUCCUACUGCACGUCUAGCGAAAGCUAGAAAGCCUUCGAGGGUGUAGGACAGGUGAUGCAUGGCUGUCGUCAGUUCGUGGUUUGAAUCGUUCCCUUCAGUGGGGUAACGAACGCAACCCUCGUUGCCAGUUACAAGUGUCUGGCGAGACUGCCCCCUCACGGGGGAGGAAGGUGAGGAUGACGCCAAGUCAGCAUGUCCCUCUGAUGUCCUGGGCUGCACACGCGCUACAAUCGCCUUUACAAAGGGACGCAAUGCGGUAACGCGGAGCAAAUCCUUAAAAGAGGCGCCAGUUCGGAUUGGGGUCUGCAACCCGA